AGUGAACACUGGCGGUAGGCCUAACACAUGCAAGUCGAACGGCAGCACAGGAGAGCUUGCUCUCUGGGUGGCAAGUGGCGGACGGGUGAGGAAUACAUCGGAAUCUACUUUUUCGUGGGGGAUAACGUAGGGAAACUUACGCUAAUACCGCAUACGACCUACGGGUGAAAGCAGGGGGUCUUCGGACCUUGCGCGAUUGAAUGAGCCGAUGUCGGAUUAGCUAGUUGGCGGGGUAAAGGCCCACCAAGGCGACGAUCCGUAGCUGGUCUGAGAGGAUGAUCAGCCAAACUGGAACUGAGACACGGUCCAGACUCCUACGGGAGGAAGCAGUGGGGAAUAUUGGACAAUGGGCGCAAGCCUGAUCCAGCCAUACCGCGUGGGUGAAGAAGGCCUUCGGGUUGUAAAGCCCUUUUGUUGGGAAAGAAAUCCAGCUGGUUAAUACCCGGUUGGGAUGACGGUACCCAAAGAAUAAGCACCGGCUAACUUCGUGCCAGCAGCCGCGGUAA
rnacentral:rRNA from 1 species